AUGGCGGACGCAGCCCGUGACGGGCAGACAGCCCUGGCGCUCCGCCUCGCCAAGCUCCUCGCACCGGUGGGCGACGUCGACGCAACCGCGAUCGAGCGCAACGUCGCGUUCUCUCCGCUCUCCGUCCACGCCGCGCUGGCCCUGAUGGCCGCGGGCGCGCGGGGCACCACACAGGCCCAGCUGCUCAGCUUCCUCGGGGCGCCGUCGGCGAGUGAGCUCGCCGCCUUCGGGCGCGGCAUCGCCGACAGCCUCCUGGACGACGACCGCGCCGACACCGGCGGGCCGCGCGUGCUCUUCGGCGGCGGCGUCUGGGUUGGCGACCACUGCGGCGCGCUCGACAAGGCGUUCCGGGACGUGGCCGCCCAUUCCUACAAGUCCGAGGCGCGCACCGUGAGCUUCGCCAGCAAGCCGGAGGAAGCUGUUGAGACGAUCAACGGACGUGUGAAGAAAGCCACCAACAACCUCAUCAGCUCUAUCAUCUCACCUACGGAUGUCGACGCUGAGACCGAUCUGGUGCUCGCCAACGCCGUCUACUUCAAGAGAGCGUGGCUCAAGCAGUUCGGCUCUUACACGAGCCCGGGCACGUUCCACCGGCUCGACGGCAGUCCUGUAGAGGCGCAGUUCAUGCCCAUGUACUUCGGCCAUUAUGCCUCCUGCAUGGACGGGUUCAAGGUCCUCAGGCUCCCCUACAGGCCUAACCUUCCUGCCGACGUCUGGGAGAACAAGUUAGAGUUCAAACGGAAGUUUCCGACGAUGCCUCUGAGUUUCCACUUUCCAAGGAUACGCGUCGGACAGGCCGCUGUAUCUUCCUGCGAAUGUUCAAGACACUGGCAUCAAUAA
rnacentral:rRNA from 1 species